GAUGAACGCUGGCGGCGUGCCUAAUACAUGCAAGUCGAGCGAACAGACGAGGAGCUUGCUCCUCUGACGUUAGCGGCGGAUGGGUGAGUAACACGUGGAUAACCUACCUAUAAGACUGGGAUAACUUCGGGAAACCGGAGCUAAUACCGGAUAAUAUAUUGAACCGCAUGGUUCAAUAGUGAAAGACGGUUUUGCUGUCACUUAUAGAUGGAUCCGCGCCGCAUUAGCUAGUUGGUAAGGUAACGGCUUACCAAGGCAACGAUGCGUAGCCGACCUGAGAGGGUGAUCGGCCACACUGGAACUGAGACACGGUCCAGACUCCUACGGGAGGCAGCAGUAGGGAAUCUUCCGCAAUGGGCGAAAGCCUGACGGAGCAACGCCGCGUGAGUGAUGAAGGUCUUCGGAUCGUAAAACUCUGUUAUUAGGGAAGAACAAAUGUGUAAGUAACUAUGCACGUCUUGACGGUACCUAAUCAGAAAGCCACGGCUAACUACGUA
rnacentral:rRNA from 1 species